ensembl:miRNA
GGUCUGGCUGUUGUGGUGUGCAAAACUCCGUACAUUGCUAUUUUGCCACACUGCAACACCUUACAGA